CCAGGAGUGGAGCCUGCGGCCUAAUUUGACUCAACACGGGAAAACUCACCCGGUCCGGACACUGGAAGGAUUGACAGAUUGAGAGGUCCUCUUUCUUGAUUCAGUGGGUGGUGGUGGUGGUGCAUGGCCGUUCUUAGUUGGUGGAGCGAUUUGUCUGGUUAAUUCCGAUAACGAACGAGACUCUAGCCUACUAAAUAGAAUACCAGCUUACAUACACGUUGGUGGUAUUAUUCACACUUCUUAGAGGGACAGGGGGCGUCGUUUCAGCCGCACGAAACAGAGCAAUAACAGGUCUGUGAUGCCCUUAGAUGUCCGGGGCCGCACGCGCGCUACAAUGAAGUGAUCAGCGUGGAUAUACUUAACCUACUCUGUUAAAAGUGGGUAACCCAAUGAAACUUCCUUCUGGAUGGGAUUAGGGAAUGGUAUUUUUUCCCUUGGAACAAGGAAUUCCAAGUAAGCCCGAGUCAUUACCUGGCGUUAAUUACUUCCCUGCCCUUUGUACACACCGCCCGUCGCUAC
rnacentral:rRNA from 1 species